GAUGAACGCUGACAGAAUGCUUAACACAUGCAAGUCAACUUGAACUUCGGUUUGGGUGGCGGACGGGUGAGUAACGCGUACAGAACUUGCCUCACAGAUAGGGACAACAUUUGGAAACGAAUGCUAAUACCUGAUAUUAUGAUUAUAUGGCAUCGUAUAAUUAUGAAAGCUAUAUGCGCUGUGAGAGAGCUUUGCGUCCCAUUAGCUAGUUGGAGAGGUAACGGCUCACCAAGGCGAUGAUGGGUAGCCGGCCUGAGAGGGUGAUCGGCCACAAGGGGACUGGGACACGGCCCUUACGCCUACGGGAGGCAGCAGUGGGGAAUAUUGGACAAUGGACCAAGAGUCUGAUCCAGCAAUUCUGUGUGCACGAUGAAGUUUUUCGGAAUGUAAAGUGCUUUCAGUUGGGAAGAAAAAAAUGACGGUACCAACAGAAGAAGUGACGGCUAAAUACGUG
rnacentral:rRNA from 1 species